UUUUUCUUUUGAUGUUUACCUUAAUUGCUUUUUUGUUUAACUAUCUACUACUUCUGCUUGCACUCUUAUGAUUAUUUAAAGUUUAAAUAUAUUUUUAUUAUGGGUUUUAUAGAAUGUAAUUUUUUCAAAAUCGUUGUAAGUUUUACGAUAUCACUAAUUCAUUCCUCCUCUUGGUGACAUUCGUAUCCUAACUGGUGGUAGAUAACAAUGCUAUAGAGGGCGGUGGCCUUCAUUGACCCUAUAAUGUGUCACAGUUGCCCCAAAUAGCGAUGGUAGGGGGCUUCGACAGUGAUUGUGCAAGAGGCAUGAUGCAAUCAUGUCAACUUAGGGUUGUGGGCGAUGCCGCAUCCGCAGCAAUGGAGUUCGGAGCAAGCAUGUUGAGUGACAACAUCAAUUAUUGUGCUCAUGGGCAUUGGCCUCGACUAGCAAUGCCAAGGAUCAUGGGGUGGUCCGGCACAUGAUCGGUUGGACAAUGGUGUUAUUAGGCGGCUGUAGGAGUCUAGUUGGCAUGGUUAUGUUUGGAUUUUUCGGAUGGCAAUGCCUCCAAGCAUCACAACAAAAGGGUCCCAAGGUUCAAAAUAUGGCAUUAGCAGCACCGCCCAGGUGCUCACAUUACAAUUGGCUAUAUCAUAGUGACAAGAGGGCUUGACGGGCUAUUGGGCAUUGUCGCUAUGGAACUUGGCGCCCGACAAGGCUGUGCCAUGAAGAUGGCUGCCAGACCGGUGGCAAGUCAUUCGCGACAGAGGGGUGUCGGUCAAGGAUUAUUGACCAUGAGAUUGCAUUGGUCACAUGCAAUGGAAAAGUUGCAAUGAGAGGAAAUUGAGAGAAGGGGUAUUUAGGUGAUAGGGAUUUUGACUUUGGUCAAAAUUAAUUUUGAUUAAACUUUAUCCUUAAUUAAAUUAUGAUUAUAACCUAUUUUUAGUUUUAAUUUUUGUUGAAUCUCGAAUUUUAAUGAUGAAAUCAAUUGAUGAGUUUAUGAGACUAAUAUGCUUUUGAGAUAAGUGACAUAAAAAAAAAAACUUUGAUUACAGAAUCAAGAAAACCAUAUUAGAUCGAAAUAAAGCUCACAUAUCAAGAAAACCAUUGGGCAUGAAGUUGGAUUAAUUGGACUCGUUAAAAGGUCAAACUAGUAGCCUAAACCAGGCUUGGGUGGUGGUAUCGCUAGACUCAAGUGGUAGUACUGCUUAAGUUAGUCAAUAAGUAUAGUUUGUGCUUUGUUAGCCUUUUCAGCGAUGGUACUGCCUAUGGCAGUAAUAGCUAUGCCAAGGGCAGUGAUAGUACCACUCAAAAUUUAAAUUUUAUGAUGUUAGUACUAUAAAAGUCUAGAUUUGUGACAUCAAAAGUUACGACAGUAGUGCUGCCUAGUGUUAGUGAUAGUAUUGCUUGUAUCUCAAAAUUUUUAGGGAUUUAAUAUUUUUGCUUCAUUCUUGAUGCUUUUUAGGGCCUAUAAAUAUUAAACUUAAGCUUGGUUGAUGAAGGAUAUAUUACUGAGUUACUAAAAUAUUUUAAGCUCUCAUCUUGAGUAUAGUUCGAGUCUUUUCUUCUUGAGUUAAGUUGAAAUUCUAAAUUGUAAGAGGUUAAAGAUCUUUUGUAGAAAGAGAGUUUAAAGGUUAUCUUCUAAGUUUGAAAUAGAAAAAAGUUAUAAUAAGGAUAGUUGAUAUUCGUUCGUUAGAAAGAAUAUCGAUAGUGAAAACUGGUGGUCUCGAUGGAAGAGGAAUUAGGAGUGAACAUAGGUCAAGAAGACCGAAUCACUAUAAAUUGAUUUGCUUCUCUUUACUUUUCCUCUACUUGUGACUUAAUUUUAUUAUCUUUACUUGCGACUUUAAUUUAAUCAAUCGAGUUUCUAAAACAUGUUGAUUAUCAAUAAAAUUUUAAAAUCGAUUAAAAAUAUUUUUACAUAAUUCACCCCCGACCCCCCUCUUAGUGCCAAUAAGAUCCUAAUAAUUCUAACCUCAAUAAAUUUUUUUCUAUCAGAUUUAGAUAUGGUUAGCUUUUAUUUUUUAUCAAUCAAAUCUAAUUUUGACAUGAUGAAAUUUGACCACUCUAUUCUAAUUUUAAUUUUGAUCUAAUUAUUGUCUUAGGUCAAUUGGAUCUUAAUUACAAAUUGAUUGGGGUGGUUGUUGGGUUCAAUUUGAGCGGUUGGCUACCAAAUC
rnacentral:lncRNA from 1 species